CUACGGGAGGCAGCAGUGGGGAAUAUUGCACAAUGGGCGCAAGCCUGAUGCAGCCAUGCCGCGUGUAUGAAGAAGGCCUUCGGGUUGUAAAGUACUUUCAGCGGGGAGGAAGGGAGUAAAGUUAAUACCUUUGCUCAUUGACGUUACCCGCAGAAGAAGCACCGGCUAACUCCGUGCCAGCAGCCGCGGUAAUACGGAGGGUGCAAGCGUUAAUCGUAAUUACUGGGCGUAAAGCGCACGCAGGCGGUUUGGUAAGUCAGAUGUGAAAUCCCCGGGCUCAACCUGGGAACUGCAUCUGAUACUGGCAAGCUUGAGUCUCGUAGAGGGGGGUAGAAUUCCAGGUGUAGCGGUGAAAUGCGUAGAGAUCUGGAGGAAUACCGGUGGCGAAGGCGGCCCCCUGGACGAAGACUGACGCUCAGGUGCGAAAGCGUGGGGAGCAAACAGGAUUAGAUACCCCCGUAGUC
rnacentral:rRNA from 1 species